UGCCAGCCUCCGCGGUACGACUGAUUGUGCAAGCGUUGUUCGGAAUUACUGGGCGUAAAGCGUACGUAGGCGGUUGGUUAAGUCGAAUGUUAAAGCCUGGGGCUCAACCCCAUGGAUGCAUUCGAUACUGGCCAACUAGAGGGUGGCAGAGGAAAGCGGAAUUCCAAGUGUAGCGGUGAAAUGCGUAGAUAUUUGGAGGAACAUCGGUAGCGAAAGCGGCUUUCUGGACCAUUCCUGACGCUGAGGUACGAAAGCGUGGGUAGCAAACAGGAUUAGAUA
rnacentral:rRNA from 1 species